rnacentral:rRNA from 1 species
GACGAACGCUGGCGGCGUGCCUAAUACAUGCAAGUUGAGCGCUGAAGGUUGGUACUUGUACCAACUGGAUGAGCAGCGAACGGGUGAGUAACGCGUGGGGAAUCUGCCUUUGAGCGGGGGACAACAUUUGGAAACGAAUGCUAAUACCGCAUAAAAACUUUAAACACAAGUUUUAAGUUUGAAAGAUGCAAUUGCAACACUCAAAGAUGAUCCCGCGUUGUAUUAGCUAGUUGGUGAGGUAAAGGCUCACCAAGGCGAUGAUACAUAGCCGACCUGAGAGGGUGAUCGGCCACAUUGGGACUGAGACACGGCCCAAACUCCUACGGGAGGCAGCAGUAGGGAAUCUUCGGCAAUGGACGAAAGUCUGACCGAGCAACGCCGCGUGAGUGAAGAAGGUUUUCGGAUCGUAAAACUCUGUUGGUAGAGAAGAACGUUGGUGAGAGUGGAAAGCUCAUCAAGUGACGGUAACUACCCAGAAAGGGACGGCUAACUACGUG